AGGAGUUGAUCAUGGCUCAGAACGAACGCUGGCGGCGCGUUUAAGCAUGCAAGUCGAGCGGCAAGGGCCUUCGGGCCCCUAGAGCGGCGGACGGGUGAGUAACACGUGGACAAUCUGCCCCCCGGCCCGGGAUAGCCCAGGGAAACCUGGAUUAAUACCGGAUGAGACGGGACCCGCGAUGGCGGGACCCGGGAAAGGCGCUGCGGCGCCGCCGGGGGAUGAGUCUGCGUCCCAUUAGCUAGACGGCGGGGUAACGGCCCACCGUGGCGACGAUGGGUAGCCGGCCUGAGAGGGUGGACGGCCACAUUGGAACUGAGACACGGUCCAGACUCCUACGGGAGGCAGCAGCUAAGAAUCUUCCGCAAUGGGCGAAAGCCUGACGGAAGCGACGCCGCGUGAACGAAGAAGGCCGUGAGGUUGUAAAGUUCUUUUCGGGAGGGGGAACAACCGUGGCAGGGAAUGGCCGCGGGAUGACGUGAAUCCCGGAAUAAGCCCCGGCUAACUACGUGCCAGCCGCCGC
rnacentral:rRNA from 1 species